rnacentral:rRNA from 1 species
GGGCCCGCACAAGCGGUGGAGCAUGUGGUUUAAUUCGAUGAUACGCGAGGAACCUUACCAGGGCUUAAAUGUAAGUUGCAUAGAUCAGAGAUGGUCUUUUCUUCGGACUACUUACAAGGUGCUGCAUGGUUGUCGUCAGCUCGUGCCGUGAGGUGUCAGGUUAAGUCCUAUAACGAGCGCAACCCCUGUCGUUAGUUACCAGCAAGUAAUGUUGGGUACUCUAGCGAGACUGCCGGUGCAAACCGUGAGGAAGGUGGGGAUGACGUCAAAUCAUCACGGCCCUUACGUCCUGGCUACACACGUGCUACAAUGGGGCGUACAGAGGGUUGCGAAGCCGCGAGGUGGAGCC